rnacentral:lncRNA from 1 species
CUCUGAUCUCUUACGCAGAUCAACUACAGAAGGAAGCCUCGUGAAAUCGUUGCAUGAAGACGGACAGGUAAGAAACAUAUCAGCUUCCUGCAGAGCUGCAGAGGUGAACGGUGUCGAUAUGUGGUGGUAGGAAACCGUCAACUCAAACACUGACGUUGGUAUAAACUUGGACAAUCUCUGACUGAAAUCUAUCUGUAGUGCAACUUUAAAAUCUCCUGUGUGCAUUUUAUUCUUCAGGUGCGGUGGAUUCCCUCUAACGACAGGUAACAUUGUCUUUGUACUCGAUACGUAAAUCUCAAGUAGCACUUUCCUGUUGAGUACUUCAACUCAAAAUAAAUACCUUAAAAUGAAUCGCUCCACCCUGAAGUCCAUAUUAAGGCCAUAACAAACAGACCUUACUUACAACACAACACAACAUCUUCCCUGUAGGUUCGACUGCCUGGUUCAUGUAACCGUCAUCCCCUGCACAGACGUGGCCACCGUGCAACACGAGAUGCAAGCCAACCUGAGCAACGCCUACAACCACCCGAGUGGUGUUCUUCAGCUGCUGGCUGAUCCAGAGAGCAUUCAAACUACAGCUGUGGAACGUUUCGAUGCUGCCACCAUCAGUCCUGCAGGUCCUGGUGUCGUGGUGACGAGUCCCUCUCCGGUCACAACUACCACGUUUAAAACCACAACAUUUGUUACCACCACCACCCUCUACACCUCCACCUCCUCCUCCACCAGUCCCUCCACCACCCCCCUCUACACCUCCACCUCCUCCUCCACCAGUCCCUCCACCACCACCCUCUACACCUCCACCUCCUCCUCCACCAGUCCCUCCACCACCACCCUCUACACCUCCACCUCCUCCUCCACCAGUCCCUCCACCACCACCCUCUACACCUCCACCUCCACCUCCUCCUCCACCAGUCCCUCCACCACCCCCCUCUACACCUCCACCUCCACCUCCUCCUCCACCAGUCCCUCCACCAGCGCAGCCACGACGCCUGCAAACAUCUCUGGUCAGUUAACCACGUGUGGAUUUUCAUCAUUACUUUUGGAAAGUGACUAA